CAGUCGCCGCGGUAACGCGUAGGGUGCAAGCGUUAAUCGGAAUUACUGGGCGUAAAGCGUGCGCAGGCGGUUAUAUAAGUCAGAUGUGAAAUCCCCGGGCUCAACCUGGGAACUGCAUUUGAGACUGUAUGGCUAGAGUGUGUCAGAGGGGGGUAGAAUUCCACGUGUAGCAGUGAAAUGCGUAGAUAUGUGGAGGAAUACCGAUGGCGAAGGCAGCCCCCUGGGAUAACACUGACGCUCAUGCACGAAAGCGUGGGGAGCAAACAGGAUUAGAUACCCCAGUAGUCCCUGUCUCUUAUAC
rnacentral:rRNA from 1 species